CAAAAGAUGAUAAGAUCUCCGCAGCCUGCCGCGUCUGAUCGCUUCCAAUUUGCUCCCGACCGCCGAGAGGCUAGGGCAAGACAUUCGCUCUCUCCGCAAGCAUUCCUUCCCCUCGCUCUCCAUCAAAUAAGGUAUCAGUUGGAACCACUAGGAUCCAAAGAUCUGGCUGGGGCAGACAUGGUGAUGCUUGUGCUGUGAUUUGGGUCUCCCUUUGAUUUGCUGUUCUGCGUUGAACUUUUGUCCAGACAGACAUCAUGUCCCAGGUUUAUAUAUGACCAAAGAGCAAUCCCACCUGAUACAAAUAAUAUUCCGAAGCUUGAACCAAACCUCCUCUGCAUCAAGAAUGCAUGGUGGUGGCACAAUCCAAGUCCAUAAAUGAAGGCAAGUGAGGUCCCUGUUAGAUUUGCAGGUAGAUCAACAAUUAAAAGCCAUCAUGCUACGAUGGCAUGGCCAGCCGAACUUGUGUUGUGAAAGCGGGGGAAACAAGCUUUGCAAGUCUGAAGGAGGAGGAAGUGAUAUUUGCAACACGCAAGGCAAGGUAAAUGUGAGCAAGCAGUAAGCAGCCAUGGCCGCGUAAAUAAAAUGUGCAAGUGUUGAUGAAUAUAAUUCAGCUGUGGUAUUUAUGGAAAAUAUGAUCAAAACUGAUGUGAUGCUUGUAAAAUCAUGCGAGCUCAGCAGAAGGGGCAUGUUAUUACCGUUGAA